CACGACUCUCGGCAACGGAUAUCUUGGCUCUCACAUCAAUGAAGAACGUAGCAAAAUGCGAUACUUGGUGUGAAUUGCAGAAUCUCGUGAACCAUCGACUCCUUGAACACAAGUUGCGCCCGAGGCCACUAGGUUGGGGGCCCACCUGCCUGGGAGUCACGC
rnacentral:rRNA from 1 species